UGCUAAGCAGGCUCCAUGCCCAGCACAGAGCCUGACAUGGGGCUUGAUCCCAGGACCCUGAGAUCAUGACGUGAGCUGAAAUCAAGCAUCAGACACUCAAAUGACUGAGCUACCAGGUACCCCAUUAACUUUAUCCCUUAAUGCAGUCUCACCUGGGGUAGGGCUCCAACAUAGAAAUAUUUGGAGGACAUAAUUCAGUUUAUAACACUGUGUGAAAAGAAGAAAGCAUUUGACAGUAUACAACACACCUUCUUGAUGGAAAACACUCGAUAAACUAGAAGUAGAAGGAAACUUAGGCCCAUAAUGAGUAUUUACAAAAUACUUGCAGCUAGCAUCAUGUUUGAAGGUGAAAGACUGGAAACCUUCCUCCGGAUCAGGAACAAGACAAGGGUGUAUACUCUUGCCACUUCUAUUUAACAUUAUUCUGGAGGUUUUAUGCAGACCAAUUAGGCAAGAAAAUAAAAAGUAGCCAGAUCAGAAAAGAAGAAGUAACUAUACCUAUUUAUAGAUGAAAUGAUUUGUAUAUAGAAAAUCCUAAAAUCAGAACUAAUCCCAAUAAAAUCAGAACUAAUAAAUGAGUUCAGCAUGGUUUCAGGAUUCAAGAUCAAGGUACAAAAAUCAAUUUUAUAACUAUGCACUAUUAAUAAAUAACCCAAACAUGAUAAUAUAGUGGGCUGGAUUGUGUAUCCCCUGCCAAAAUUGAUUUUUGACAAAAGUGCCAAGAUAAUUUGGUAUUGAAAGUACAAUCUCUUCAACAGAUGUGUCACUGGGUCACUGGAUACCCACAUGCAAAUGAAUAAUUUGGAUUCCUACAUGACACCAUAUAAAAAGUUGCUUCUACAUUUUGCUGUUUCCUUGGCUAUGCAAAAGUUUUUAAGGUGGAUAUCCAGUUUUCCCAGCACCAUUUGUUGAAGAGAGAGUAUCCUUUCCCCGUUGUGUAGCUCUGGCAACCUGGUCAAAGAUCAUUUAAUCAUCUACAUGGCUAUGCAUUUUUUUUUCUGUCUAUUCUAUUCCCUUGGUCUGUGUAUCUAGUUUUGUUUUGUUUUUAAGAUUUUAUUUAUUUAUUCAUGAGAGACAGAGAGAGAGAAAGGCAGAGGCACAGGCAGAGGGAGAAGCAAGCUCCAUGCAGGGAGCCUGACCUGGGACUCGAUUCCAGGUCUCCAGGAUCACGCCCUGGGCUGAAGGCAGUGCUAAACCGGUGAGCCACCCGGGCUGCCCUGUGUAUCUAGUUUUGUAUCAGAAACAUGCUGUUUUAAUUAUCAUAACAUUAUACUAUGUUUUGAAAUCAAGAAGUGUGAAGAUGUUAGUUUUGUUUCGUUUUGUUUUUCUGUUAGGAUUGUUUUGGCUAUUUG